AUUGAACGCUGGCGGCAGGCUUAACACAUGCAAGUCGAGCGGGGGAAGGUAGCUUGCUACCGGACCUAGCGGCGGACGGGUGAGUAAUGCUUAGGAAUCUGCCUAUUAGUGGGGGACAACAUCUCGAAAGGGAUGCUAAUACCGCAUACGUCCUACGGGAGAAAGCAGGGGAUCUUCGGACCUUGCGCUAAUAGAUGAGCCUAAGUCGGAUUAGCUAGUUGGUGGGGUAAAGGCCUACCAAGGCGACGAUCUGUAGCGGGUCUGAGAGGAUGAUCCGCCACACUGGGAGUGAGACACGGCCCAGACUCCGACGGGAGGCAGCAGUGGGGAAUAUUGGACAAUGGGGGGAACCCUGAUCCAGCCAUGCCGCGUGUGUGAAGAAGGCCUUAUGGUUGUAAAACACUUUAAGCGAGGAGGAGGCUACUUUAGUUAAUACCUAGAGAUAGUGGACGUUACUCGCAGAAUAAGCACCGGCUAACUCUGUGCCAGCAGCCGCCGUAA
rnacentral:rRNA from 1 species